UCCCUUUUAGCUCAGUCGGUAAAGAAUCUGCCUGUAAUGCAGGAGACCCAGGUUUGAUUCCUGGGUUGGGAA
rfam:Ovis aries breed Texel chromosome 7, whole genome shotgun sequence.